rnacentral:lncRNA from 1 species
UUGACACCCUUAUAGCAACUAUGGAAAUGUGGUUUUCAGGAAAAGAUCUAAGAUUAGAUUUCAUUUAUUCAAGUAUGGAUUUUUUAAUAGUUACACCUUUUGGCUUUUACACGGGGAAAUAGAAGAUGAUUUAUUAGAAGUUGGUGAUGGUAAUGACCCUAACAAAGAGGAUGGACAUGACAAUAUAGUUGGCAUAUUACAUGAUGCAUAUGAAUUAAUGGAUAUGGAUGUAGAAUUCACUG